UACGUAGGGGGCGAGCGUUGUCCGGAUUUACUGGGCGUAAAGCGCGUGUAGGCGGCUUGGUAAGUCUGCUCUGAAAGCCCGGGGCUCAACCCCGGGAGGCGGGUGGAUACUGUCAAGCUCGAGUCCGGAAGAGGAGUGUGGAAUUCCUGGUGUAGCGGUGGAAUGCGUAGAGAUCGGGAAGAACAUCGGUGGCGAAGGCGGCCUGCUGGGCUGUAGCUGACGCUGAGGCGCGACAGCGUGGGGAGCAAACAGG
rnacentral:rRNA from 1 species